GACGAACGCUGGCGGCGUGCCUAAUACAUGCAAGUCGAGCGAAUCUGAUGGGAGCUUGCUCCCUGAUGAUUAGCGGCGGACGGGUGAGUAACACGUGGGUAACCUGCCUGUAAGACUGGGGAUAACUCCGGGAAACCGGGGCUAAUACCGGAUAACUUUUUUCUUCGCAUGAGGGAGAAUUGAAAGAUGGCCUCUGCUAUCACUUACAGAUGGACCCGCGGCGCAUUAGCUAGUUGGUGAGGUAACGGCUCACCAAGGCGACGAUGCGUAGCCGACUUGAGAGGGUGAUCGGCCACACUGGGACUGAGACACGGCCCAGACUCCUACGGGAGGCAG
rnacentral:rRNA from 1 species